CUGCAAGUGCCCGUGCGUCGCGACCAAGCCGCCAGGACACCGCCGCGCCGUUCUCCUGCGUCGUCCCGACGCCCGCCCUCUGCCCCGACGUUCUCCUGCGCCGUCCCGACACCGACUGCUCGUUCCCGCCGCCAGGAUCACGUCUCUGGCCCGACGUCCGUGCGGCCCCUCGUCGCUGCAGUGCUGCACCGCCCAGUCGCAUCCCCGCCCGGACGCCGCCGCCAAGCCGACCGUGACCGUCCCUGCUGCGCCAUCGCCCCGAUGGACGCGGACAACGUCACCACCACUGCGGCCAUGCUGGCCGCCUUGGGCACCACCAGCCCCGCGACGCAACCCCCCGUUGCCCCUGCUGAAAUCAGCAGCACGCUCACCCAUGGAGGGGCACCCUACAUCGCCGGCCUCGGGCCUCUCCACGUGCUCCACCCCCAUAGAGCCUCCACCAAGAUGCUGCAACGAAGAAAUGUCAUGCCUCAAACCAUGAAACAUGGAGCAGCUGCAGUUCAAAUAUGA
rnacentral:misc_RNA from 1 species